UGCUUUCUCUGAGUCUUGGUUGCAA
rnacentral:piRNA from 1 species